GACGUAGGGCGCGAGCGUUGUCCGGAUUUAUUGGGCGUAAAGAGCUCGUAGGCGGCUUGUCGCGUCGAAUGUGAAAACUCGGGGCUCAACUCCGAGCUUGCAUUCGAUACGGGCAGGCUAGAAUUCGGUAGGGGAGACUGGAAUUCCUGGUGUAGCGGUGAAAUGCGCAGAUAUCAGGAGGAACACCGGUGGCGAAGGCGGGUCUCUGGGCCGAUAUUGACGCUGAGGAGCGAAAGCGUGGGGAGCGAACAGG
rnacentral:rRNA from 1 species